GGAUGGUCCGAAGGUAGUGAGUUAUCUCAGCUGAUCACAGUCAGUUACAGAUUAGACUCCUUGUUCCACUCUCUCCCCUCUUCCCACUACUGCACUUGAAUAGUCUUUU
ensembl:Y_RNA Y_RNA Y RNA